UUGAAGGGACAACAGCAGCUAAAGUGCUUGGUAAAGACUGGCUGUGCAGAUAUCGUAAUUGAAAAUAUUGGAAUUAUCGUGUUUGCUUACUGCAUUUCAUCAACAGUAAGGCAUUAUUCGUGUUGUUUCUUGAUUCCUUUGGUAUCUAAAAAUUCUCAGAAGUGACAAAUCUGGCUAUACAUUUUUCUUCAGAUGCGUUUUCAUUUUGUACGUAAAAACCCACUUGAGAACCAUGGGCGAUUUAUUAAAAAAAACACAGCCAGAUUUAUCACUUCUGAAACUUUUUAGAUGCCAAAGGAAUCAAGAAAAAACACAAAUAAUGCUUUAGUGUUGAUGAAAUGUAGUGAGCAAACGGCCAAUGUUCGCUAAGCACUCUGUCUGUUGUCCCUUCAGCUCUCACUUAUAUCUACUGUCAUUUCUCCUCACGUUUGGAAUUCUGAAGUAGGCUAAAUGUCUCACAUGCUCAUCCCGAUUUCCAUAAUUAUUUGCAGCGCAAAAAUUGACAUUUUCGACGGGUUUUAACGGAUCCGCUACGUUCAGAUUCAGAUUCAGAUUGAACUUUAAUUGUCGUUGUCAGUGUGCAGUACAGAGACAACGAAAUCGGUUAGCAUCUCCCUGGAAGAUGGAGUUGGAAACAAUGGAAAUAGUCAUGAAGAGGCAGUGAGCAGCAGAACACAACAAGACGCAACAAGACACAACAAGUAAAAACUUAAUAAAUCUCAUCUUUAAAAUUUAAAUUGUUCUUAUAUUUUAAGAGUCAUUUACAUUUUAACCUUUAAUAAAACCUUUUUGCACCUUUAA